CCUACGGGGGGCAGCAGUGGGGAAUAUUGGACAAUGGGCGCAAGCCUGAUCCAGCCAUGCCGCGUGAGUGAUGAAGGCCUUAGGGUUGUAAAGCUCUUUUACCCGGGAAGCGGUACCGGGAGAAUAAGCCCCGGCUAACUUCGUGCCAGCAGCCGCGGUAAUACGAAGGGGGCUAGCGUUGUUCGGAUUUACUGGGCGUAAAGCGCACGUAGGCGGAUCUUUAAGUCAGAGGUGAAAUCCCAAGGCUCAACCUUGGAACUGCCUUUGAUACUGGGGAUCUCGAGUUCGGGAGAGGUGAGUGGAACUGCGAGUGUAGAGGUGAAAUUCGUAGAUAUUCGCAAGAACACCAGUGGCGAAGGCGGCUCACUGGCCGAACUGACGCUGAGGUGCGAAAGCGUGGGGAGCAAACAGGAUUAGAUACCCUUGUAGUC
rnacentral:rRNA from 1 species